UCAAUUAGGAUCGAUAUACCUUGUAUAUCCACAAGGUGGCAGUAAUGCAAAAACAGUUGUAAUGAAACCGCGCAGAACAAGAAGGUUUCACGGCUUGUGCCUGCUCAUGCGCAAGACUUCAAAUUUAACUGAAAAAGGCUGUUUUGGCGCCAAGCUACUGUUUCUUUGAGAGAUCCUGCCUUUACCUGCUCCCUCCUAUACUGAUGUGGUGUAUGUGGUAUUGCUGAGCUUGUAUGUGGUGGAAGCAGAAUAUGUGAGGAUUACUACUGCUGCACAUGUUCCAAGGCUUUUUACACAACUUGACCAAUACACUGACCAGCUCAUAAAAGUCUUCAAGAAAAAAGGAGGCGUUGCAGGGAAGAAAAUUAGACAAACUUUGGCCCCAGCCACACAGAAGGAAAGUAUUGAAAAGGGGAGGGAGUGUGUCCUCAGGGCACUACCUUUUUACCUGAAUGAAGACCCAAGCAUCCUCUUCAAAGAAUAAUUGCUACAGCUGUUCAGAGGGAGCUGGAACAAAUUACCCUUGCUAUCUUUACCAUCGAAAGAGCUGAUGCCAGCACUCCUCCAGCCGAUGUGGGUAUAACCAUCUAGUGUGUCCUGCAUGACCUGGAAGACCUGGCCUCUGCAUGUGCACUCUUAAUGGGUGGGAUAUAUGCACUAAAUCUCAGUUAACCUCAAGACUGAAAGCUUUCUUUGAAGUACUUCAGAAGCUCUUCCUUCAUCUGUAUGUCAGCAUACUCUUGACCAAGGUACAGUUGCUCAAGAAUACACUGAAUGAAUAAGCCAACCUUUAAUUUGGAUGAUGAAUGUUCUGUCAGAUGGACAGAAGUUUUUCGGAGGCUGAAUGGGAAUAAAAUGGUAAUUUGUAAAUGACAGAUAACGGGAAAAUUACAUUUAAGAGAAAUUUAGAACAUUUUGAAAAGUUUGUAAACUACUACAAUUUGAGAGAUUUUA